AUUGAACGCUGGCGGCAGGCCUAACACAUGCAAGUCGAACGAGUGGCGGACGGGUGAGUAAUGCAUCGGAACGUACCGAGUAAUGGGGGAUAACUGUCCGAAAGGACAGCUAAUACCGCAUAUUAUUCGAGCGGCCGAUGUCUGAUUAGCUGGUUGGCGGGGUAAAGGCCCACCAAGGCGACGAUCAGUAGCGGGUCUGAGAGGAUGAUCCGCCACACGGGGACUGAGACACGGCCCAGACUCCUACGGGAGGCAGCAGUGGGGAAUUGUGGACAAUGGGCGCAAGCCUGAUACAGCCAUGCCGCGUGUCUGAAGAAGGCCUUCGGGUUGUAAAGGACUUUUGUCAGGGAAGCGGUACCUGAAGAAUAAGCACCGGCUAACUACGUGCCAGCCGCCGCGGUAAUAC
rnacentral:rRNA from 1 species